CGUGUUCCAAUGAACCCUGUGAGCAAUGCUGUCGGGAGUCAUGUGCUCCCAGCAGGGUCACCCAUGGCGGUAAGGUCAAGGGAGAGGAAUCAGACAAAGAACGAUCCAAGAAUGUCCUCAACAGCAGAACAGGCGGAGGAUAACAAUGUGUAUGUUACAACGGCUGUGAAGGCGGAUGAAGGCUGCAGCAGAUAAAGGACUUCCAAUCGUCGUGGUACCCAUGCCAUUGGAUCAAAGCCUUUUUCUGUCAAGUUGGUGUGUUGAUCUCCCCACAUAAAACAAAUUCACGCCCAGGCGUCUUCCAUAACAAAAGUCCCAUGGCGAUUGGCGAACGGCGACAGGGGCAGGACUGUGAAAUCCAGAAGCCCCUAGUCAUGAACUGGUACAUCGGAGGUGGAUACAGAUUCAGACGGAUCCUUUGUUAAAGACUUUAUUUUGGAAGACAAUCUUACUCGGUCACGAGUGAUCGCGAAGAAGAAGAAGUCCUAGGAACACAGCCAACAGUCACAUAACUCCAAAGAGAAUAUAGACCAAGGCUCGGGCUUCCAGGUAACCGUAAGGUGCACCAAGAAUGACACAAGACAGCCUUCACCAAUGUGCUGCACUCCAGAUGUUUUGGACUACAACUCCCAUCAGCCUCAGCCAGCAGGGCAGGUGUAUUUUAAAACUGCUCAAGUGUGUGAUCCAUUGCAUACUUCCUUGGAAGUAAGCCCUAUUGAACUCAAUAAGACUUAGAGGCAUUCUCUCAGAACAUGAGACCAGACUUCCUGACUCCAGCCACGGCAAGGAGGUCAGUAUUGAUUACCAUCACUGGAAACUGGAAACGUGACUGGGAGAAACACUCACGCUAUAAAUUACCAGCCCCUUCACGGAACAGGUUUCCUCUAACCAGACACAAGGGCUGACAAGCAACUUCCAACUGCUCUCCUCUGUUCUGCUGGCCUUUUUUAUGUUGCUGCAAAUGGUACCAUUAUUUUUCUUUUCCC